AUACUUCUUGUCUUUUAAAAUUUGUGUAACCAAGUCAUAAAAAAGUAGAUCACAAUUUAACAUUAUUGAAAUUAGUGUGUUCUUGGAGCAGAUAAUUAUAAAUUUUUAUUGAAGGAAUUUGGAAUUCCUAGGAAAAGAACUCACCACGUGUGAUUCCUAGGUGCCUUUAGAAGAAGUUUGUUGGGAGCGUAGAACCUUGCGUCAUCUUUUCUUUGAAACCGCAUGGUUUUUUUUUUACACGUGGCCACAUUGUCACCCACGUGUCAAGGAAGCAUUUUUGAAACCAACCUUUUUUUUUGCACACGUGAUCAUACCGUCA